CAGCCGCCACGGGAAUACGAAGGGUGCAAGCGUUAAUCGGAAUUACUGGGCGUAAAGCGUGCGUAGGCGGUUUGUUAAGUCUGCUGUGAAAUCCCCGGGCUCAACCUGGGAAUGGCAGUGGAUACUGGCAAGCUAGAGUGUGUCAGAGGAUGGUGGAAUUCCCGGUGUAGCGGUGAAAUGCGUAGAGAUCGGGAGGAACAUCAGUGGCGAAGGCGGCCAUCUGGGACAACAUUGACGCUGAGGCACGAAAGCGUGGGGAGCAAACAGGAUUAGAUACCCCAGUAGUCCCUGUCUCUUAUAC
rnacentral:rRNA from 1 species